GGAGUGAUAGCUCAGUGGUAGAGCUUUCGACUGCAGAUCGAAUGGUCCCGGGUUCAACUCCCGGUCGCUCCU